AUUGAACGCUGGCGGCAGGCCUAACACAUGCAAGUCGAACGGUAACAGGAAGAAGCUUGCUUCUUUGCUGACGAGUGGCGGACGGGUGAGUAAUGUCUGGGAAACUGCCUGAUGGAGGGGGAUAACUACUGGAAACGGUAGCUAAUACCGCAUAACGUCGCAAGACCAAAGAGGGGGACCUUCGGGCCUCUUGCCAUCGGAUGUGCCCAGAUGGGAUUAGCUAGUAGGUGGGGUAACGGCCCACCUAGGCGACGAUCCCUAGCUGGUCUGAGAGGAUGACCAGCCACACUGGAACUGAGACACGGUCCAGACUCCUACGGGAGGCAGCAGUGGGGAAUAUUGCACAAUGGGCGCAAGCCUGAUGCAGCCAUGCCGCGUGUAUGAAGAAGGCCUUCGGGUUGUAAAGUACUUUCAGCGGGGAGGAAGGGAGUAAAGUUAAUACCUUUGCUCAUUGACGUUACUCGCAGAAGAAGCACCGGCUAACUCCGUG
rnacentral:rRNA from 1 species